AUUGAACGCUGGCGGCAUGCCUUACACAUGCAAGUCGAACGGUAACGGGCCUUCGGGUGCCGACGAGUGGCGAACGGGGGAGUAAUGUAUCGGAACGUACCUUUCAGUGGGGGAUAACGUAGCGAAAGUUACGCUAAUACCGCAUACGAUCUACGGGUGAAAGCGGGGGAUCGCAAGACCUCGCGCGAAUGGAGCGGCCGAUGUCAGAUUAGGUAGUUGGUGGGGUAAAGGCUCACCAAGCCAACGAUCUGUAGCUGGUCUGAGAGGACGACCAGCCACACUGGGACUGAGACACGGCCCAGACUCCUACGGGAGGCAGCAGUGGGGAAUUUUGGACAAUGGGCGCAAGCCUGAUCCAGCCAUUCCGCGUGCAGGAUGAAGGCCUUCGGGUUGUAAACUGCUUUUGUACGGAACGAAACGGUUCUCUCUAAUACAGGGGGCUAAUGACGGUACCGUAAGAAUAAGCACCGGCUAACUACGUGCCAGCAGCCGCCGUAACAC
rnacentral:rRNA from 1 species